UCUCGAGCUUGCUCGGGAGAGUAAAGUGGCGCACGGGUGAGUAACGCGUGGGUAACCUGCCCUUAAAUCUGGGAUAAUCCACCGAAAGGUGGCCUAAUACCGGAUACAGUCCUGAAAACCCUGGUUUUCAGGAUGAAAGUUGACCUCUUCUUGAAAGUUGGCGUUUAGGGAGGGGCCCGCGUGCCAUUAGCUUGUUGGUGGGGUAAAGGCCUACCAAGGCUACGAUGGCUAGCUGGUCUGAGAAGACGGCCAGCCACACUGGAACUGAAACACGGUCCAGACUCCUACGGGAGGCAGCAGUGAGGAAUUUUGCGCAAUGGGGGAAACCCUGACGCAGCGACGCCGCGUGAGUGAAGAAGGCCUUCGGGUCGUAAAGCUCUGUCAAGUAGGAAUAAAACUGUGCAUUUAAUAGGUGCACGGUCUGAAGGUACUACUAAAGGAAGCACCGGCUAACUCCGUGCCAGCAGCCGCGGUAAUACGGAGGGUGCGAGCGUUAUUCGGAUUUAUUGGGCGUAAAGAGCGUGUAGGCGGUUGGGCUAGUCAGAUGUGAAAUCCUUCUGCUCAACGGAAGAAGUGCAUCUGAAACUACCCGACUUGAGUACGAGAGAGGAAAGUGGAAUUCCCAGUGUAGAGGUGAAAUUCGUAGAUAUUGGGAGGAACACCUGUGGCGAAGGCGACUUUCUAGAUCGAUACUGACGCUGAGACGCGAAAGCGUGGGUAGCAAACAGGAUUAGAUACCC
rnacentral:rRNA from 1 species